rnacentral:tRNA from 1 species
CAGGGUGUAGCGCAGAUGGCUAGCGCGCGUCGUUCGGGACGACGAGGUCGGCGGUUCAAGUCCGCCCACCCUGA